AUUGAACGCUGGCGGCAUGCCUUACACAUGCAAGUCGAACGGCAGCACGGGAGCAAUCCUGGUGGCGAGUGGCGAACGGGUGAGUAAAGUAUCGGAACGUGCCCAGUCGUGGGGGAUAACCCGGCGAAAGCCGGACUAAUACCGCAUACGACCUAUGGGUGAAAGCGGGGGAUCGCAAGACCUCGCGCUAUCGGAGCGGCCGAUGUCAGAUUAGCUUGUUGGUGGGGUAAAAGCCUACCAAGGCGACGAUCUGUAGCUGGUCUGAGAGGACGACCAGCCACACUGGGACUGAGACACGGCCCAGACUCCUACGGGAGGCAGCAGUGGGGAAUUUUGGACAAUGGGCGCAAGCCUGAUCCAGCCAUGCCGCGUGCGGGAAGAAGGCCUUCGGGUUGUAAACCGCUUUUGUCAGGGAAGAAACGCUCCGGGUUAAUACCUCGGAGUAAUGACGGUACCUGAAGAAUAAGCACCGGCUAACUACGUGCCAGCCGCCGCGGUAA
rnacentral:rRNA from 1 species